rnacentral:tRNA from 1 species
GGCCCGUUAGUCAAGCGGUCAAGACGUUGGCCUCUCACGCCGAAGACAGGAGUUCGAUUCUCCUACGGGUCACCA